rnacentral:rRNA from 1 species
UACGUAGGGUGCAAGCGUUGUCCGGAUUUAUUGGGCGUAAAGAGCUCGUAGGCGGUUUGGUAAGUCGGGUGUGAAACCUCCAGGCUCAACCUGGAGCCGCCACUCGAUACUGCCAUGACUUGAAUUCGGUAGGGGACCACGGAAUUCCUGGUGUAGCGGUGAAAUGCGCAGAUAUCAGGAGGAACACCAGCAGCGAAGGCGGUGGUCUGGGCCGACAUUGACGCUGAGGAGCGAAAGCGUGGGGAGCGAACAGG